AUGAAGAUGGAGUCAGAGGCCCAGGUCUUCCUAUUCCUGCUGCUCUGGAUGUCUGGUGCUCAAGGGAACAUUGUGAUGACCCAGUCUCCUGAAUUCAUGUCCACGUCUGUAGGAGACAGGAUUACCUUAAGUUGCAAGUCUAGUCAGAAUGUAGAUAAGUAUGUAGCUUGGUUUCAGCAGAAAUCAGGCCAGCCUCCUAAACUGCUAAUCUACGAUACAUCCACUCGACAUACUGGGGUCCCUGAUCGGUUCACAGGCAGUAGAUCUGGGACGGAUUUUACUUUCACCAUCAGCAGUGUGCAGGAUGAUGACCUGGCAGUUUAUUAUUGUCAGCAGCAUAGCAGCUAUCCUCCCACAGUGCUUCAGCCUCUAACAAAAACCUGCAGCACACACAGCCAUUGGACUGCACACUUCCCCCUUCUGCCUGCGAUUUUCUAUGCAUGA